rnacentral:rRNA from 1 species
AUUGUACGCUGGCGGCAUGCUUUACACAUGCAAGUCGGACGGCAGCACAGAGAAGCUUGCUUCUUGGGUGGCGAGUGGCGAACGGGUGAGUAACAUAUCGGAACGUACCGAGCAGUGGGGGAUAACUAAUCGAAAGAUUAGCUAAUACCGCAUAUUUUCUGAGGAAGAAAGCAGGGGACCAUUUGGCCUUGCGCUGUUUGAGCGGCCGAUAUCUGAUUAGCUAGUUGGUGGGGUAAAGGCCUACCAAGGCGACGAUCAGUAGCGGGUCUGAGAGGAUGAUCCGCCACACUGGGACUGAGACACGGCCCAGACUCCUACGGGAGGCAGCAGUGGGGAAUUUUGGACAAUGGGCGCAAGCCUGAUCCAGCCAUGCCGCGUGUCUGAAGAAGGCCUUCGGGUUGUAAAGGACUUUUGUCAGGGAAGAAAAGGGCGGGGUUAAUACCCCCGUCUGAUGAACGGUACCCUGAUAGAAUAAGCC